GAGUAUGGAAAGUUCGAGUCGACCUUCCUGACAAAUACCCCUUCAAAUCCCCAUCUAUAGGAUUCAUGAAUAAAAUCUUCCAUCCCAACAUCGAUGAGGCGUCAGGAACUGUAUGUCUAGAUGUAAUCAAUCAGACUUGGACAGCUCUCUAUGGUGAGUUGAUCUUUUCCU